rnacentral:tRNA from 2 species
UCCUCCGUAGCUCAAUGGCAGAGCAUUCGGCUGUUAACCGAAGGGUUACUGGUUCGAAUCCAGUCGGGGGAG